rnacentral:lncRNA from 1 species
AAAAAGGACACAGACCCAGGAUUCAGAAAGGAAAUGAGGACAGAGACUAACACUGUCUAAAUACAUAAAGGCAGAAGACAUUUUCUCAGUGUCAUCUCGUAGCUCUCACCACUUUCUCUAGGACAUUUAUUAAGCGCUUACUACUCACAAUUGGAUUAGGCACUGAGACUGUGAAGACAAAACAGACACAACUCCUGACCUCAAGGAGCAAAUAAUUGAAUGCAAACAAUGGGGUGUGGAGACCACAAGGAGACAUACUGGCUGUAGUCCUAUAUUUGAAGGCUGUCACAUGGACAGAGGGGUAAGUUUGU